UGAAAUCAUGAGUGGAGUAAUUUCUUUUGAAGACAUGAAUGAAAAAUUUUGGAAACAUAGGUGCAAUAAUAUCAUAUUUAUAGUUUUAAUAAAUUAUGAUUUAUUUUAUAAUGUAACGAAAAGCAAUGUGAUAGAUUCGUCUAUUGUGUAACUGUUGGCGGAAUGGUCACGUGGCAACGUAUUCGCUUACAUUUUGCUGGGUUUCACAUCUUCUCAUGCUUUCUAAUCCAGAAAUCCAGGUCCCACACCUCCAAUUUUUCAGCAGUGGUCUGGGCUGGCCCAGUGAACCUUAUCGUUCAACCUUCUGUUUAUCCCAGAGAAGAUGUUGGCCAGCCUGUGGAUCUAAAAGUAACCGCCUUCAGAUAAUAUCACCCACGUUGGCCAAAUUGCCGUUCGCAAGUCACAUGGCUCUUUCGUAUUUCAAUUUGGUUCCAUAUCAUUAAAAUCAAUAGUUAAUAUAAAAUAAAUACCUAUUUAAUUUAAAAAAUAAUAUAUUUGUAAUUUGUUCAUUUAUUGUAAAAAGUAGUGUGCAUCCACACGAAAUAAAGGCA
rnacentral:lncRNA from 1 species